rnacentral:tRNA from 1 species
GAGGUGUGUAAACAAUUAGAGCUGCUAACUCAAAUCACUAAAAAUAAAAUUUUAGACCUCUUA